UACGGGGGGGGCAAGCGUUGUUCGGAAUUACUGGGCGUAAAGGGUUUGUAGGUGGCCCGCUAAGUCACACGUGAAAUCCCUCAGCUUAACUGGGGAACUGCGUGUGAGACUGGCAGGCUUGAGUGCAGGAGAGGAACGCGGAAUUCCAGGUGUAGCGGUGAAAUGCGUAGAUAUCUGGAGGAACACCGGUGGCGAAAGCGGCUCACUGGACCAUAACUGACGCUGAGGUGCGAAAGCUAGGGUAGCAAACGGG
rnacentral:rRNA from 1 species